UACGUAGGGUCCGAGCGUUGUCCGGAAUUAUUGGGCGUAAAGGGCUCGUAGGCGGCCAACUAAGUCAGACGUGAAAUCCCUCGGCUUAACCGGGGAACUGCGUCUGAUACUGGAUGGCUUGAGUUUGGGAGAGGGAUGCGGAAUUCCAGGUGUAGCGGUGAAAUGCGUAGAUAUCAGGAGGAACACCAAUUGCGAAGGCAGCUCGCUGGGACGUAACUGACGCUGAGACGCGAAAGCGUGGGGAGCAAACAGG
rnacentral:rRNA from 1 species